GUCUCCGUGGUUUAGUCGGGAAAACACCCGAUUGAGGUGCGGUAGAAUCCGGGUUCGAGUCCCGGUGAAGGCA